GACUCUGGCUCAAAGCUCUCUCUGAAAGAAAGAGAAGCUGCUUCAGAAGCAGAGAAAGGCCUGCAUUCCCCAACUGGACACUGAGAGGGGGAAGAUACAGGGCUUGCGCAUCUGCCAACGGUGCCAGCUGACAAACCUGGGGGACUUUCAAGAUACAGCAAUGGGACAUAGGCAGACAUACGUUCCUUGAAUCUGCUCCUGGUUUGGGAAUGUUUGUGACUAUUACAACUUACAAUGAUGAGCGGAUCCACUUAGAUAUUCGAGUUGGAGAACACGACCUUGAUGCGGCCAUUGCUCAAGCAAAGGACAAAGUUAAUGAACUUACCUUCAAGCUUGAACAUCUAAUUGAACAAAUUGAGCAAAUAGUCAAAGAACAAAACUAUCAAAGGGACCGUGAAGAAAAUUUUCGAACGACCAGUGAAGAUACAAAUAGCAAUGUUUUAUGGUGGGCUUUUGCACAAAUAUUAAUCUUUAUCUCAGUCGGAAUUUUCCAAAUGAAGUACCUGAAAGACUUCUUUAUAGCUAAGAAGAUUGUUUAAAAUAUUAUCAAUAAGGACAAAUAAUCUGCAUAAUGUUUGAGUUAAUAAAUCAAAAUACCUGCA
ensembl:lncRNA TMED11P transmembrane p24 trafficking protein 11, pseudogene